rnacentral:rRNA from 1 species
UACGUAGGGUGCGAGCGUUGUCCGGAAUUACUGGGCGUAAAGAGCUCGUAGGUGGUUUGUUGCGUUGUCCGUGAAAACUCACAACUCAAUUGUGGGCGUGCGGGCGAUACGGGCAGACUGGAGUACUGCAGGGGAGACUGGAAUUCCUGGUGUAGCGGUGGAAUGCGCAGAUAUCAGGAGGAACACCGGUGGCGAAGGCGGGUCUCUGGGCCGUAACUGACGCUGAGGAGCGAAAGCAUGGGGAGCGAACAGGG